AUACGGAGGGUGCAAGCGUUGUUCGGAAUCACUGGGCGUAAAGGGCGCGCAGGCGGUUUGGUAAGUCAGAUGUGAAAGCCCACGGCUCAACCGUGGAAGUGCAUUUGAAACUGCCAGACUUGAGUACCAGAGGGGAAAGUGGAAUUCCCGGUGUAGAGGUGAAAUUCGUAGAUAUCGGGAGGAAUACCGGUGGCGAAGGCGACUUUCUGGCUGGAUACUGACGCUGAGGCGCGAAAGCGUGGGGGGCAAACAGGAUUAGAAACCCUAGUAGUCC
rnacentral:rRNA from 1 species